AUUGAACGCUGGCGGCAGGCCUAACACAUGCAAGUCGAGCGGAUGAAGGGAGCUUGCUCCUGGAUUCAGCGGCGGACGGGUGAGUAAUGCCUAGGAAUCUGCCUGGUAGUGGGGGAUAACGUCCGGAAACGGGCGCUAAUACCGCAUACGUCCUGAGGGAGAAAGUGGGGGAUCUUCGGACCUCACGCUAUCAGAUGAGCCUAGGUCGGAUUAGCUAGUUGGUGGGGUAAAGGUCUACCAAGGCGACGAUCCGUAACUGGUCUGAGAGGAUGAUCAGUCACACUGGAACUGAGACACGGUCCAGACUCCUACGGGAGGCAGCAGUGGGGAAUAUUGGACAAUGGGCGAAAGCCUGAUCCAGCCAUGCCGCGUGUGUGAAGAAGGUCUUCGGAUUGUAAAGCACUUUAAGUUGGGGGGAAGGGCAGUAAGUUAAUACCUUGCUGUUUUGACGUUACCAACAGAAUAAGCACCGGCUAACUUCGUG
rnacentral:rRNA from 1 species